rnacentral:rRNA from 1 species
CCUACGGGUGGCUGCAGUGGGGAAUAUUGGACAAUGGGCGAAAGCCUGAUCCAGCCAUGCCGCGUGUGUGAAGAAGGCCUUCGGGUUGUAAAGCACUUUCAGUGGGGAAGAAAGCCUUGGGGCUAAUACCCUCGAGGAAGGACAUCACCCACAGAAGAAGCACCGGCUAACUCCGUGCCAGCAGCCGCGGUAAUACGGAGGGUGCGAGCGUUAAUCGGAAUUACUGGGCGUAAAGCGCGCGUAGGCGGUCUGAUAAGCCGGUUGUGAAAGCCCCGGGCUCAACCUGGGAACGGCAUCCGGAACUGUCAGGCUAGAGUGCAGGAGAGGAAGGUAGAAUUCCCGGUGUAGCGGUGAAAUGCGUAGAGAUCGGGAGGAAUUCCAGUGGCGAAGGCGGCCUUCUGGACUGACACUGACGCUGAGGUGCGAAAGCGUGGGUAGCAAACAGGAUUAGAUACCCCAGUAGUC